GUGAAAAACGGAACGGCGGAUCGAACGAAUUUUCUUCAUUUUGUUAACAUGUGUUCUAUAUGAUUUAUCGGUUAUCAAAAUUCAUUAAAUUCUUCAAAUCUGAACCGGUGUGACGUCUCUCAAGUAAAUCGUUCACCUCUUAUGCGGUAAGAAAUGAACAGUUUUAAUUGACGUCUACUCAAACUUUCUGCCAAUAAGAUAUAUGCUUAUGGUAGACAAAGAAGAAAUGAAGGAUGUGGUAGUGAUGAUGUUGGUGUAGGGAAAAAAAGAAGAAAAGGGGGAGAGUUUAAAUCGACGUUUGAAAGUUCGUAAGCUGGUUGCAGCGAGUUCCUACCUACCUACCUACCUACCUGUUAUCUCGGUGAAACAUCGAUCGGUGGUACUUGGGAAUGGAGCAGGAGAGGCUCAGCU
rnacentral:lncRNA from 1 species